UGAAUUCAAGAUUCUCCUGCCUUGACUUCCCAAGCCACUGGGAUUACAGAGGAGCAGGAAGUUAAGAUGGACCAGCACCGAGUUCAAGACCCUAGCAUCCAGCAGCCAGUGAUUGAAACUUCUCAGGAGCUCCAGUCACCUCAAGAAGAGGCAAGCACUACUAUAAGUGGGACAUAAUGAGCCCUGAACCUCCCAGGAGGUGCCAUUGCCUGGGCAAUUAGAUAGACACACACUCACGCUGUCUCCUGGAGCCCAGGUGGUCCCUGGAAACUGCUGAAAACCGAGGCUUACAUCCCAGAGGAACCCUGAAAGGAAAGGAACACCAUUUUGAGGUGCCUUGAAGUGCAAUGCCCUUCAGCCAAAGCCCUAGAAAGAGCCUGACAGACUCCAGUGGAAACCCUCAUACUGUCCCUGUGGACUUGAAAUCUUGGCUGUGCUGAUAAUCCCUUAUUUUGUUCUUUCUCUCCUGAAUGAUUUAAAGGUUCUUGAAUAAGAAAAA